rnacentral:rRNA from 1 species
GACGAACGCUGGCGGCGUGCUUAACACAUGCAAGUCGAACGGUGAUGGCCAGCUUGCUGGUCUGAUCAGUGGCGAACGGGUGAGUAACACGUGAGCAACCUGCCCUAGACUCUGGAAUAACCAUGGGAAACGAUGGCUAAUACCGGAUACGAGACACACACGCAUGUGUGGUGUCUGGAAAGAUUUAUCGGUCUGGGAUGGGCUCGCGGCCUAUCAGCUUGUUGGUGGGGUAGUGGCCUACCAAGGCGACGACGGGUAGCCGGCCUGAGAGGGCGACCGGCCACACUGGGACUGAGAUACGGCCCAGACUCCUACGGGAGGCAGCAGUGGGGAAUAUUGCACAAUGGGCGCAAGCCUGAUGCAGCGACGCCGCGUGAGGGAUGACGGCCUUCGGGUUGUAAACCUCUUUCAGCAGGGAAGAAGCGCAAGUGUCGG